GAUGAACGCUGGCGGCGUGCCUAACACAUGCAAGUCGAGCGAUUCUCUUCGGAGAAGAGCGGCGGACGGGUGAGUAACGCGUGGGCAACCUGCCCUGUACACACGGAUAACAUACCGAAAGGUAUGCUAAUACGAGAUAAUAUACUUUUAUCGCAUGGUAGAAGUAUCAAAGCUUUUGCGGUACAGGAUGGACCCGCGUCUGAUUAGCUAGUUGGUAAGGUAACGGCUUACCAAGGCGACGAUCAGUAGCCGACCUGAGAGGGUGAUCGGCCACAUUGGAACUGAGACACGGUCCAAACUCCUACGGGAGGCAGCAGUGGGGAAUAUUGCACAAUGGGCGAAAGCCUGAUGCAGCAACGCCGCGUGAGCGAUGAAGGCC
rnacentral:rRNA from 1 species